UUUACCGUAAGGUAUGCACUGAAGUAAGCGUGUCUGCAAAGGUCUGUACUGACGAACAGGAAGCGGAUAGGAGGCAAAACUGAACGGAUGAGGUGGUGUGAGAGGCACACCCCGCUUGUUUAUUCAGGUGGGACUACCUACACGAUUAGCUGUAGUCCCGUCUUUUGUGUCGCUGGUUUCAAGC
rfam:Bacteroidetes bacterium RIFCSPLOWO2_12_FTLL_37_12 rifcsplowo2_12_scaffold_87, whole genome shotgun sequence.